rnacentral:rRNA from 1 species
CCUACGGGUGGCUGCAGUGGGGAAUAUUGGACAAUGGGGGCAACCCUGAUCCAGCCAUGCCGCGUGUGUGAAGAAGGCCCUCGGGUUGUAAAGCACUUUCAGUGAGGAAGAACGCCUGGUGGUUAAUACCCAUCAGGAAAGACAUCACUCACAGAAGAAGCACCGGCUAACUCCGUGCCAGCAGCCGCGGUAGUACGGAGGGUGCGAGCGUUAAUCGGAAUUACUGGGCGUAAAGCGCGCGUAGGUGGCUUGAUAAGCCGGUUGUGAAAGCCCCGGGCUCAACCUGGGAACGGCAUCCGGAACUGUCAAGCUAGAGUGCAGGAGAGGAAGGUAGAAUUCCCGGUGUAGCGGUGAAAUGCGUAGAGAUCGGGAGGAAUACCAGUGGCGAAGGCGGCCUUCUGGACUGACACUGACACUGAGGUGCGAAAGCGUGGGUAGCAAACAGGAUUAGAUACCCCAGUAGUC